UUUCUAAAAAAUUUUAUUUUAACCCAACCUCAAAUUAAGCUCGGAAAAACGGAGCCUGCCUGAAUAUAUCUUUACUUUCACGAAGUACCAUCCGGCCCUUAUAUCUCUCUAACUCACACGUGGCUGAACCCCCCACUGAACAAGAAAAAGAAAGGGAGAGCAAGAUCGUGAGGGGGAGUCAGCCACGUGAGCCAAGUGGUAGAUAUGAUGCUGCGUGCUCGGGUUUGUGGAUGCCGCACAUUUUAGGAAUGUAGGCGGCGGAAGGAGGCUGCACACAAAACCCGGUGGAUGUACAUAGAGUACAUGGCAUCCCUGUUGUAGUGUCACGUGGCGGUAUCGCACUCUUAGGGAUGUUCAUGAAACUAUAGUUUCUGGUGUCGAAUAUAUGAACGCAAGGCUGGAUAAAAUAUUAUCUUGGAACCUAAUAACGAAAACUACCAGCGCCCACGACC
rnacentral:sRNA from 1 species